rnacentral:rRNA from 1 species
UACAGAGGUCUCAAGCGUUGUUCGGAUUCAUUGGGCGUAAAGGGCGCGUAGGCGGCGAGGUAAGUCGGGUGUGAAAUCUCAGAGCUCAACUCUGAAACUGCACUCGAUACUGCUUUGCUAGAGGACUGGAGAGGAGAUUGGAAUUCACGGUGUAGCAGUGAAAUGCGUAGAGAUCGUAAGGAAGACCAGUGGCGAAGGCGGGUCUCUGGACAGUUCCUGACGCUGAGGCACGAAGGCCAGGGGAGCAAACGGG